CCUACGGGAGGCAGCAGUGGGGAAUAUUGGACAAUGGGCGCAAGCCUGAUCCAGCCAUGCCGCGUGCAGGAAGAAGCAUCUAUGGUGUGUAAACUGCUUUUGUACAGGAAGAAACACUCCCUCGUGAGGGAGCUUGACGGUACUGUAAGAAUAAGGACCGGCUAACUCCGUGCCAGCAGCCGCGGUAAUACGGAGGGUCCGAGCGUUAUCCGGAAUCAUUGGGUUUAAAGGGUCCGUAGGCGGUUUAAUAAGUCAGUGGUGAAAUCUGGUCGCUCAACGAUCAAACGGCCAUUGAUACUGUUAGACUUGAAUUAUAAGGAAGUAACUAGAAUAUGUAGUGUAGCGGUGAAAUGCUUAGAUAUUACAUGGAAUACCAAUUGCGAAGGCAGGUUACUACUUAUGGAUUGACGCUGAUGGACGAAAGCGUGGGGAGCGAACAGGAUUAGAUACCCUGGUAGUCCACGCCGUAAACGAUGGAUACUAGCUGUUCGGAGCAAUCUGAGUGGCUAAGCGAAAGUGAUAAGUAUCCCACCUGGGGAGUACGUUGCAAGAAUGAAACUCAAAUGAAUUGACGGCUGAGACGAGACGAGACGACGACGAGGGAGGAGG
rnacentral:rRNA from 1 species